UCUUGGGCUGCAGAUGUUAUCCAUACCUUCGAAAAUCAGGAAGCAAUAAAUUCAUGAACAAAACCUAUCCAUGUGUUUUUAUUGGAUACAGUUCAUCUCACAAGGGGUAUCAUUGUUUGGAUCCAAAAACAAAUCGUGUAUUUAUUUCAAGGCAUGUUGUGUUUGAUGAGACUUUAUUUUCCUUCAAGUCUAACUCUUUUUUAAUUUCAUAGGAACCCUUAAGGCUUACUACCUUUUCUAAUACUGAUGCAUGGUAUGACACACCUAAGAAAAUUGUCUCUUCCACCACCUCAAGAAUAGAUCCGUGUACAAGCUCCUUAUCUGCCAACUGCAGUGAAGAAGCAGUAUCAUCAUAUGUUCCACAAAACAGCUCUUCUUCCAACCAAAACAGCUCAUUAUCCGUUGGUCCUUAUGAAGAAACGGUUCACUCAAAUGUUUCACAAGAGCACUCCUCACCUAACCUAACAACUCCAUUGCACCAUGUCCCCCGUCACUUGCAAAUUUCAAAUGAAUUCUUACCUAACCCAACUACUUCAUCUCAACCUAUUUCCACACCACAUCCGAUCCUACCUAGCCAUGACAUCUCUCAUACACCAACUCCUCUCUCACAUGUCACAUCAUCAUAAUCUCCUAUAGCCAUAACAGUACCUUCACAUCCUACUCAAGACCUCUCCUCCCAAUUUUUUGUAGAUCUGGAUUUCCCACCGUUGCCAUCUCCUUCACGGUUACCAUCUCCUUCUAACCUAUCCAACUCAUCUCAUCAUCCAAUGCUCACACGGCAUCAACUUAAACAGAACCCACAUCGUAUCACUGAGCUCCAUCCAAAUAAUAACACAAACACCAGUCUUCUAACCGAAACCAAUGUUAUUUCCAUUCCCAAAACUGUUCAAACAGCACUCAAAUUCCCUGAAUGGAAGAAUGCCAUGAUGGAAGAACUGUCUGCACUUCAUCAUAAUUCUACUUGGGUGUUAGUACCACGACCAGCUGAUGUUAAUGUAGUAGGCUCUAAGUGGGUAUACCGUGUGAAAUAUAAAGAAGAUGGCUUUUUGGAUCGUUACAAAGCACGUCUCGUGGCAAAAGGCUACACACAGAUUGAAGGCUUGGAUUAUGAAGAAAUUUUCAGCCCGGUGGUAAAACCAACUUCAAUUCGGUUAAUUCUUUCCAUUGCCGUUUCCUAUGGUUGGAAAAUUAAGCAACUUGAUAUAAAAAAUGCCUUCUUACAUGGACAUCUUAAAGAGAUAGUAUUCAUGGAGCAACCUCCCGGGUUUGUUGAUGCCACAUAUCCAGAUUAUGUGUGUCUUUUAUAGAAGUCUCUUUAUGGCCUCAAACAAGCUCCUAGAGCUUGGUUUGAUCAUUUGUCUCAAAGCUUGCUUAGUUUGGGUUUCAAGUGCAGCAGAGCUGAUCCUUCUUUAUUUUUCUUUAGAAAUAAUACUGACAUUAUUCUUCUCCUCAUAUAUGUCAAUGAUGUAAUCUUGACAGGGUCCAAUGCUUCUCUGCUUGCUGAACUAAUUUAUCGUUUGAACAAAGACUUUGCUUUAAAGGAUCUUGGUUGCAUUCAUUAUUUUUUGGGCAUUGAGGUUUGGUUUUUUCAUGGUGGAUUAUUAUUAUUCCAAACCAAGUAUGCUCAUGAUCUUCUCAAGCGUGCACAUUUGAUAGGAGCUACACCUAUGGCAACAUCUGUGUCUGUCGAACAAACUGCUCAUUCUAAUGAUCACCUUCUUGUCAAUGCAACCGGAGUAUAGAAGCCUAGUGGGAGCACUUCAAUACCUCACAUUCACACGGCCAGACAUUCAAUAUGCUGUGAACCAAGUCUGCCAGCACUUUCAAACUCCUACACAGCAGCAUCUUCGUGCGGUCAAACGUAUAUUACGGUGAAGUACCACAGGUUUGUGUAUUUACUUUGGCGCUAACUUGGUCUCCUGGUCCUCCAAAAAGCAGCCAACCAUUGCACGUUCAAGCACCGAAGCCGAAUAUCGAGCAAUGGCUUCUGCUGCAGCUGAGUUGACCUGGAUAUCUAACUUACUGCGAGAAAUUGGGAUGGCUUAUACUCGUCCAAUUAAGCUGUAUUGUGACAAUCUCAGUGCUCUUCAUCUCACUAUCAAUCCAGUUUUUCAUAACAGGACUAAACAUAUUCAGCUUGACUACCAUUUCAUUCGAGAAAAAGUUGCAUCAGGUGACCUCAACACACUCUAUCUUCCUUCUCCUCGUCAGGUUUGCAGAUCUGUUUACCAAAGCACUCAGCAAAUCUCAAUUCCUUCUUUUUCAAGCCAAACUAGGAGUUCGCCCGCUACCACUCACCAAUUUGAGGGGGGAUGAUAAGUUAGCUACUGCUGCAGCUUGUCCUAAAAUAGUUGUGUCAGCAGAGUCUUCACAAAGUCACAUGCAACAGAGGAUUACUUCUCCACAUCUCCUACUCCAAUGUGAUAAGAAGUAUCCUCAUGAUAUGCAAACUGGUAAGGGAUAGGCAUUAUCUAGUGGUAAAGCUUUGGUAAAGCUGUUAUAGUUAUGAGAUAUUCUUCUUGUAACCAACGUGUAUUCAUAGUGUUCCACAAGUACUAUAUAAAUAGCACCAUGUGAAAUAUGGUAAAGUAAGUGAAAAGGUAUCUGUAACAAAAGUCAGAAAAUAUUUUUAAAUAUAUUUUUAACCAUUUUCAUCAA